GCAUCUGACCAUAGUAAGGACUACAAACUAUCAGCCUUCAUGAUCGGAAGUGUUUGUGCCCCCCUGAACUGAUGUUGUCAGGAAUAUGCAGGCAGGAAGACGUGGCGGCGGACGUAAAAGCAGGUAAGAAAGAUAUUUAUUAAAUAAGUAACAAAGAAACAAAUAAAGAGCGAAGAAAUAAACCAAAACAAACGAGAGAAAAUAAUAUAAACAACGGGGAGGCAACAAACAAAAACAAGGAACUAAAACAAGAAAUGAACAAGAAAUAAACUAAACAAGGGAAAAAUAAACAAGACAUAAUCAAGAAGAUAAACACUGAACAAGAAGCUAUGGCUAAGAACAAGAAGGAACGCAGAAACAACAAGGGAAGGUGCAAAGACCGACAGCAAACACUGACACAGGACGACUAUUUAACACACACUGGAAGUGGAAACACCUGGGGCUAGGGGGCGGAGCUACAAAUUAACACAGGUGGAAAACUAGUGCUACGAAGGACAGUCAACAGUGAGAAUGCCAUGGCUGACAGAUAAUGUAAGGGUUAUUCUCAGAGACACAUCAUCAUAACAUAAAUAAUAUUGAAGACAUGAUUGGGAUUUAUUCUGAGUUUCUUUGUUUUUCUCCCCUUUACAGGUUGUAGAUGCAAGACUGUCAGUUGGUAGAAGGAGGGCAGAAUUAGUUCAGUAGUUUCAGUGCUUUUUGGGGAACAGUCAAUCUCCAUAUUUUUGUAGGUUGUAAAGGAAAAUACAAAAGUGCUUGUUUUCCGUGUUGUCAGACACAUAACUCUAGAAUCUGGAAAUCACUUUAUUCUGUGGGCCUUUGAUGGUCAGACAUUGGAAGUCAGACUGCAUGAUUCUCUUGGAACACGCACAACAAAUAAGGACCAGUACAUGGAAUUGUUGUGAUAUAUAUUUUUUUCUAAAACAUGACGAAACAUUCUGUCUCCUCAUCCAUUUUGUUUCAUGCCCUAAAGAAGGCCAAGAUGGCCGCAACAUGUUGGUGGCCUCAAUGUUUUUUUUAUUUACUUGC